rnacentral:ribozyme from 1 species
AAGGACUCACACUUCGUUCGGAACUUAUCCCACCCCCCAAGCCGAGGCAGCAGAACGCAGAAACGAAACGAAAGUAUGUCGAAAGACCAGAAGAA